rnacentral:rRNA from 1 species
AACGAACGCUGGCGGCAUGCCUAACACAUGCAAGUCGAACGAGACCUUCGGGUCUAGUGGCGCACGGGUGCGUAACGCGUGGGAACCUGCCCUUAGGUUCGGAAUAACUCCCCGAAAGGGGUGCUAAUACCGGAUAAUGUCUUCGGAGCAAAGAUUUAUCGCCUUUGGAUGGGCCCGCGUUGGAUUAGCUAGUUGGUAGGGUAAAAGCCUACCAAGGCGACGAUCCAUAGCUGGUCUGAGAGGAUGAUCAGCCACACUGGGACUGAGACACGGCCCAGACUCCUACGGGAGGCAGCAGUAGGGAAUAUUGGACAAUGGGCGAAAGCCUGAUCCAGCAAUGCCGCGUGAGUGAUGAAGGCCUUAGGGUUGUAAAGCUCUUUUACCCGGGAUGAUAGUGACAGUACCGGGAGAAUAAGCACCGGCUAACUCCGUG